CUCGGUAGUUUAGUUAGUAAGACACUUGUCUAGAAUCGUGGGUUCAAAUCCCACCUGGG
rnacentral:tRNA from 1 species